rnacentral:rRNA from 1 species
CAGUCGUGCCGGCGUCGNANUCAGUUUCACUUUUNNNAGUGUUGCGUAUUUCCGCGCAUGGCAGGUCAGCGUCAGUUUCGCGCGUCGUGAAAGGGUUCGGGUAAGGUGACUCUCUCCGGGGAGUGUUAUAGACCUGAGCAGAUGCGGCGUGCGGGACUGAGGAUUGCAGCGGACACCCUUCGGGGCGCGGCGACCGAGCCCUGCUCGGCCACCCGCGGGCGAUAGCGUGCUAACGUUCGUGGGAGCGGUCGGGUCACUGGCCAGGCAAGCCGGCGGUUCGUUAAGGAUGUUGACGUA